rnacentral:rRNA from 1 species
AACGAACGCUGGCGGCGUGCUUAACACAUGCAAGUCGAACGUGAUUGAGGAGCUUGCUCCUCAUGAAAGUGGCGCACGGGUGAGUAACACGUGGAUAAUCUGCCUGGUGAUUUGGGAUAACACUUCGAAAGGGGUGCUAAUACCGAAUAAGCCCACAGUCUCUUCGGGGAGUGCGGGAAAAGGGGGCCUCUGUAUAUGCUCUUGUCACCAGAUGAGUCCGCGGCCCAUUAGCUAGUUGGUAGGGUAACGGCCUACCAAGGCGACGAUGGGUAGCUGGUCUGAGAGGAUGAUCAGCCACACUGGAACUGAGACACGGUCCAGACUCCUACGGGUGGCAG